rnacentral:lncRNA from 1 species
CACUUGUGACUACCGCAAUUUGCGUUCAAUGACAAGGCGCUUACUCGUAACUCGAAUAUUUCAUGCCCUUCUCGUUAUCAUUCCUACUCUCGGUAGAUGAUAUUGUCAUCAUAGAGCAUCAGAAUGUGUCGACUUAAUCAUUUUCGUUAGAUUACUCGAAGAAAUACAAAAACGAAAUUUGAAACAGGAAGUUUUGAAUGAAACAAAAUUAUCGAUGGUUCCCGGUAAUGGACAUGAACAAAAUCCGGAAAUCAUAUUU